rnacentral:tRNA from 1 species
GCAGUUGUAGCUUAAUGGUAAAGCAGAUCACUGUUAAUGAUAAAAUUUCUGUUCAAUUCAGAACUACUGCU